rnacentral:rRNA from 1 species
UACGAAGGGGGCUAGCGUUGCUCGGAAUGACUGGGCGUAAAGGGCGCGUAGGCGGACGGCUUUGUCGGGCGUGAAAUUCCAGGGCUUAACCUUGGGGGUGCGUUCGAGACGGGUUGUCUUGAGUGGGGAAGAGGGUCGUGGAAUUCCCAGUGUAGAGGUGAAAUUCGUAGAUAUUGGGAAGAACACCGGUGGCGAAGGCGGCUCACUGGCUCAUUACUGACGCUCAGGCGCGAUAGCGUGGGGAUCAAACAGG